rnacentral:lncRNA from 1 species
AGGAAUUAUCUGUGAAGCCAUUAAUCACACGAACAUAAUAUUCAUCACUGCCAAAAAUAUUAUGUGUUCCUUGUACCAAGGCCAUGACAAUGAAAAUGGAAGAAGCAAAACAUAGUAUAAGGUAAACACUCACCACAAAUUUCAUUGUUUUUUUAGUGAUGUGUUAUGAUAUGAUAUGUUUCUGACUUGCCACUAAGGCUUUCUAUAUAUGGCUACCAAUAUUUCAUACAUUAAUUAUUUUAUGCAUAGAACAUAUUAACUAGCUCAACUUGACUUAUCAUUGCUGUUUAAUUUAAUAGUACUAUGAUAAUGGUUGCAUUGUUGCGCCGAUUUAGUGCUUGGACAAAUCCUUUUCAUCUUUUCUUUUAUUGAUACGUGAUCUCAAUCUUAUCAUGUUGUAUGAUAUUUGUCUCUAUUGUCUUUUUCUUAUGCUUAUAUAAAGUAUCAAUUGUCGUUUAAUAUUGACUAAUCUGCUUUAAAAAAUGUAUUGGGUUCACAAUCGAAUUUUUACACAGAUAAGGUUCGGAGAGCGAACAUUUAACCACUUGAUUGAAAUGCAAUAGUUUCUUACCACUCAGACCAAUCACAUGUUGACACCUUUGUCGCGGCUUUAUGUUUGUGGUGUGGAUAUCUUAUUUUAAAGCAUAUCCAUGGGACUGUAUGUCUGUUUAUCUGCUAAGAUAUUGCUUUCAAG